rnacentral:misc_RNA from 1 species
CGAGAACAUGACAUAUGCAUAAGUGAGUAUUCUCAGUGCAAUUUCAUUACUCUUGUUUAUAAAUCAUUCUGGAAAACUCUUGCCAACCAAUAGAAAUUAAUCAUUCUUGUUACUUGUGCAACUAAAAAUCUGCUGGACAUAUAGUCACUAAUAUCGUGUAUUUUUCACCUCCUUUGUGAAUCGUGUGAUUCUGACUUCAAACUAUGAGAAAUUUUUCAUAUUAUAUUUGGUUGCUUUGGAUGUAAGUGCAUGGUUAUUAGAGUAUACAAUUGCAUUAUUGUAUGUUUUGAUUUCGUUUUUUGUUGUAAAUACUUCUUUCCUUAUCUUCUGAAUACUACUUUUUUUUUCAUUCUUGAUGAAGAUAGAUCUCCUCUAUUAAUUAAGCAUAUUCAUUUAGUUUUUAUUGGAAAAUUUUUACUAGAAGUGUUCCUUACACCUGACGCCUUUUGUUAUAUGCUGCUAAUGGAUAUGCCAUUUGAAAAUAGGUUAUCUUGGAUAGAACCCAUCUAAAUGUUCUAAUUUUAUGUCACGUUGGAGUUAGGAGUCCUUUUUUACUGGUCUGUUUUGAUCUUUGAUGUUACUUGGUUAUUGCUA